rnacentral:rRNA from 1 species
UACGUAGGGGGCGAGCGUUGUCCGGAGUUACUGGGCGUAAAGAGCGUGUAGGCGGUUGAAAAAGUCAGGUGUGAAAUUUUCCGGCUCAACCGGGAAACUGCGCCUGAAACUUUUCGACUGGAGUUCGGGAGGGGCAACUGGAAUUCCUGGUGUAACGGUGAAAUGUGUAGAUAUCAGGAGGAACACCCGUGGCGAAGGCGGGUUGCUGGACCGUAACUGACGCUGAGACGCGAAAGCGUGGGUAGCAAACAGG